rnacentral:rRNA from 1 species
CCCUUAGAUGUUCUGGGCAGCACGCGCGCUACAAUGGUCUUCGCAAACGGAUGCAUUCUCGAAGGAGAAUGCCAAUCUUGGAAUCUAUGCCUUGGUCGGGCCAGUUGCUUGCAAUUUUUCGACUCGAACCAGGAAUUCCUUGUAAUCGUGAUUCAUCACAUCACGAUGAAUACGUCCCUGCCCUUUGUACACACCGCCCGUCGCUCCUACCGAUCGAAGAGUUAGGUGAAUUGUUUUGAUCGAUAAGAUUUGACUAUGGUCAACUCUCGUUGUGAAAUUCUGUGAAUCUGACUGUUUAGAGGAAGGAAAAGUCGUAACA